GUGAAGCCCAGCUUGCUGGGUGGAUCAGUGGCGAACGGGUGAGUAACACGUGAGCAACCUGCCCUCCACUUCGGGAUAAGCCUUGGAAACGGGGUCUAAUACCGGAUAUGAGCUCGCAUCGCAUGGUGUGGGUUGGAAAGUUUUUCGGUGGGGGAUGGGCUCGCGGCCUAUCAGCUUGUUGGUGGGGUGAUGGCCUACCAAGGCGUCGACGGGUAGCCGGCCUGAGAGGGCGACCGGCCACACUGGGACUGAGACACGGCCCAGACUCCUACGGGAGGCAGCAGUGGGGAAUAUUGCACAAUGGGCGCAAGCCUGAUGCAGCGACGCCGCGUGAGGGAUGACGGCCUUCGGGUUGUAAACCUCUUUCAGCAGGGAAGAAGCGCAAGUGACGGUACCUGCAGAAGAAGCGCCGGCUAACUACGUGCCAGCAGCCGCGGUAAUACGUAGGGCGCAAGCGUUGUCCGGAAUUAUUGGGCGUAAAGAGCUCGUAGGCGGUCUGUCGCGUCUGGUGUGAAAUCCCGAGGCUCAACCUCGGGCUUGCAUCGGGUACGGGCAGACUAGAGUGCGGUAGGGGAGACUGGAAUUCCUGGUGUAGCGGUGGAAUGCGCAGAUAUCAGGAGGAACACCGAUGGCGAAGGCAGGUCUCUGGGCCGCAACUGACGCUGAGGAGCGAAAGCAUGGGGAGCGAACAGGAUUAGAUACCCUGGUAGUCCAUGCCGUAAACGUUGGGCACUAGGUGUGGGGCUCAUUCCACGAGUUCCGUGCCGCAGCUAACGCAUUAAGUGCCCCGCCUGGGGAGUACGGCCGCAAGGCUAAAACUCAAAGGAAUUGACGGGGGCCCGCACAAGCGGCGGAGCAUGCGGAUUAAUUCGAUGCAACGCGAAGAACCUUACCAAGGCUUGACAUGUACGAGAAAGCCCCCGAGACGGGGUUCUCUUUGGACACUCGUACACAGGUGGUGCAUGGUUGUCGUCAGCUCGUGUCGUGAGAUGUUGGGUUAAGUCCCGCAACGAGCGCAACCCUCGUCCUAUGUUGCCAGCGGGUUAUGCCGGGGACUCAUGGGAGACUGCCGGGGUCAACUCGGAGGAAGGUGGGGAUGACGUCAAAUCAUCAUGCCCCUUAUGUCUUGGGCUUCACGCAUGCUACAAUGGCCGGUACAGAGGGCUGCGAUACCGUAAGGUGGAGCGAAUCCCAAAAAGCCGGUCUCAGUUCGGAUUGGGGUCUGCAACUCGACCCCAUGAAGUCGGAGUC
rnacentral:rRNA from 1 species